AACUGACAAUCGCCAUGAAAAUGUUUACUUCGUAAAUACUUACUUACAAGUUCUAUAAAUUCAGGCGUAUAUUCCUCACGGUGAAACCAACCAAGGACUACCCGAGGGUCAUGAUUGAUGCUAAAGGCUGGAAGGCAUAAGAAUAGGCAAAUGUAGCUGGGAUUUUUCACUUUGAUACAGCAGUAUAAGUGUAAUAGGGUUUUUAGUGCAAGAUGCUUUGAGUAAACAAGCGGGAAAGGCGGUAAGCGCUCAGUGAAAAAUUUCCUGUAGAAAGAGAAGAAACAACUCAAACUCUAAAAUACUCUACAAUGUUUAGGCAUUUUGUAAUUUGUGGCGCAUGGCGCAAUAAAUAAUAACAGGAUAAUUUUAUUACCAAGACCUCGUUAGAAGUGAACAUGGGAACUUUCUUGAAAUGCGCGACGGAAUUUUCCAGUUCAACAUUCUAUACUUCACCUUUUGAGUGAGUAUGCCUUACCUUCCGAACGCAAUAAAGUUGCCUCUGUGUAUAUGUGAAGUGAGACAAAAUAACACCAGCAAGUUUAGCAGAAUGAACCCAAGAAUGAACCCAAGUCGGGCUGAUCUAUUUUGCGAGCGUGAAUAUUUGAUCUUACCAUGUGUACAAGGGACUAGUAUACUAACCAAUCAGCAGAACACUUUGUCUGUCAUUCAAAUUACAAUCACCAAAUCACAGUUCACUGCUGAGUCAAUCGUACAAAUAAUAACCGCAUAUAAAACAAUAGUCUUUAAUUUGCGUAGUCAGCACGUGAAAAUGCGCGUGACAAAUUUCAGCAUCACUUUUAACUCACUAUAAAUUACAGCGAUUCGCAUAGUUUCAAGGCCCACUACCAAACAUUUUAAAAA